rnacentral:rRNA from 1 species
GGAGGGUGCAAGCGUUGUUUCGGAAUUACUGGGCGUAAAGCGCGCGUAGGCGGUUUGCUCAGUCAGAUGUGAAAGCCCUCGGCUUAACCGGGGACGUGCAUUUGAAACUGGCAGACUUGAGUAUUGGAGGGGGUGGUGGAAUUCCCGGUGUAGAGGUGAAAAUUCGUAGAUAUUCGGGAGGAAUACCGGUGGCGAAAGGCGACCACCUGGCCAAAUACUGACGCUGAGGUGCGAAAGCGUGGGGAGCGAAACAGGAUUAGAUACCCUGGUAGUCCACGCCGUAAACGAUGUCAACUAGGUGUUGGGAUGGUUAAUUCGUCUCAUUGCCGCAGCUAACGCAUUAAGUUGACCGCCUGGGGAGUACGGUCGCAAGAUUA